rnacentral:lncRNA from 1 species
CCACACUGGCCCGCCUUGCUCUGAGCACUUCCGUGGACUGAAGGAGCCCGGAGGAGCCCGCUCGCUGGGAGGACAUUGAUUCCGCAUACAGGCCUGACUCAACAAGCACCUCACCGUGUCCUCUGGGGACCAUGGCCAUAACCAGGCCAGCCAGGGAUCCCUGUCACUUGGAGGGUCCAUUGAGGGUUGCCUCUCUCCGUAUUCUGCGUCCCGAGGAAUAGCACGUACUUACCCGUGUAUCUGCAUCUGAAGCUGGCCGGUGUUUUCACCGUGCGUCCUGCUUCACCGAAGCCCCACUCAGGUCGCUGAGGGCAAUCACCUCUGUCCCCAUCUAGAAUUUCACUUAGUGUGAGUCUGUGGGUGAAGAACAGUUCUUGUUUGUCAGAAAAGCUCUUUAUUUUACCUUGAUUCUUUAAAUAACUAUUUUUUUUCCAGGUUUAGAAUUCUAGGGGUUGCCAGUAAUUUCUUUCAGCCCAGGAAGCCAUCCUUCCACAGUUGCCCAGCCUCUACUGAUACUGUGAAGUCAGCAGUGUCACUCA